GUGGUCCCAGAAUCGGGGUUUUGAGGGCGAGAUGAGUUUUAUGUUUUAUCCAACUGGCCCACAAAGUCCCGCUUUUGGGGUCAU
rnacentral:pre_miRNA from 1 species